GACGAACGCUGGCGGCGUGCCUAAUACAUGCAAGUCGAACGAACCGCGACUGAGUGCUUGCACUUGGUCAAGGUGAGUGGCGAACGGGUGAGUAACACGUGGGUAACCUACCUCAUAGUGGGGGAUAACAGUCGGAAACGACUGCUAAUACCGCAUAGGACAUAGGAUCACAUGAUCCAGUGAGGAAAGGUGGCGCAAGCUAUCGCUAAGAGAUGGACCCGCGGUGCAUUAGCUAGUUGGUAGGGUAAAGGCCUACCAAGGCGAUGAUGCAUAGCCGACCUGAGAGGGUGAUCGGCCACAUUGGGACUGAGACACGGCCCAAACUCCUACGGUAGGCAGCAGUAGGGAAUCUUCCGCAAUGGACGCAAGUCUGACGGAACAACGCCGCGUGAGUGAAGAAGGUCUUCGGAUCGGAAAGCUCUGUUGUUAGAGAAGAACAGCGCAUAGAGUAACUGCUAUGCGUGUGACGGUAUCUAACCAGAAAGCCACGGCUAACUACGUG
rnacentral:rRNA from 1 species